AUGGAACAAAAGCUCGAUCCUCGCGGAGAGGAGCGCAUUUGUUCGCCACAAAACCAAGCGCCCUUCUGGGCGUCCAUUGCUGAACCAGAACAACUCAGCUGAUCGCACGGUCUUGCACCGGCGACGUGUCUUUCAAGUGUCUGCCUUAUCAACUUUCGAUGGUAGUGUACCUGACUACCAUGGUUGUGACGGGUAACGGAGGAUAAGGGUUCGACUCCGGAGAAGGGGCCUGAGAAAUGGCCACUACGUCUAAGGAUGGCAGCAGGCGCGCAAAUUACCCACUCUCAACGCGAGGAGGUAGUGACGAGAAAUAACAAGACCGUUCUCUUACGAGGCCGGUUAUUGGAAUGGGUACAAUUUAAACCCUUUAACGAGUAUCUAUGAGAGGGCAAGUCUGGUGCCAGCAGCCGCGGUAAUUCCAGCUCUCAAAAUGCAUAGAAUUAUUGCUGCGGUUAAAAAGCUCGUAGUUGGAUCUGUGCCGACUGGCCGGUCCACCCUCUGGGUGCGCACUGGUUCGGUUGGCUUUUCCGCCGGAGUGCCUGGCGUUGGUGUGCUCGCAAGGGUGUGCCAGCGCGGGUCCGGCAAGUUUACUUUGAACAAAUCAGAGUGCUUCAAACAGGCGUCUCGCCUGAAUGUUCGUGCAUGGAAUAAUAGAAGAGGAUUUCGGUCCGAUUUUAUUGGUUUUGCUGACCGAGAUAAUGGUUAACAGAGACAAACGGGGCCAUUCGUAUUGCUGCGUGAGAGGUGAAAUUCUUGGACCGUAGCAAGACGGACUACAGCGAAAGCAUUUGGCAAGAAUGUCUUCAUUAAUCAAGAACGAAAGUCAGAGGUUCGAAGGCGAUCAGAUACCGCCCUAGUUCUGACCGUAAACGAUGCCAACUAGCGAUCCGCCGGCGGAUUCAUUCGCCCUGGUGGGGAGCUUCCCGGAAACGAAAGCCUUCCGGUUCCGGGGGAAGUAUGGUUGCAAAGCUGAAACUUAAAGGAAUUGACGGAAGGGCA
rnacentral:rRNA from 1 species